ACGUCUAUUUCUCGCCCCAUUACACAACAAAGUAACAAGUUACUAUCAUCGGUUGGUGCUGUGUAGAGAAAUAGCCAUCCUGACUACUACUAUUAUGUGUUGUCUUCUGCUGGGAGCACACCCCGCUCCACAACUAUUUCCUAGACUUGUAGCGCUAGUUUGUUUCUGCUGACCGAUAGAAAACAUAUACACUUAUUCUUCGAGUAGCCACAUAGAGUCGGGUGGUAGGAUUCUCCUCUCGGUGUGCACCGCUGGACUUUAAGGAAAGUUUCCCCUCGAGAACAACCCCGCUGUAAACUUAAGCAUAAUCAAUAAGCGGAGGAAAAAGAAACUAACAAAGGAUUCCCCUAGUAACUGCGAGUGAAGCGGGAAAAGCUCAAAUUUAAAAUCUGGCGGUCUCUGGCCGUCCGAGUUGUAGUCUGGAGAAGCGUCUUCCGCGUCGGACCGUGUACAAGUUUCCUGGAACGGAGCGUCAUAGAGGGUGAGAAUCCCGUCUUUGACACGGACAGCCGAUGCUUUGUGAUGCGCUCUCGAAGAGUCGAGUUGUUUGGGAAUGCAGCUCAAAAUGGGUGGUGAAUUCCAUCUAAAGCUAAAUAUUGGCGAGAGACCGAUAGCGAACAAGUACCGUGAGGGAAAGAUGAAAAGCACUUUGGAAAGAGAGUUAAACAGUACGUGAAAUUGUUGAAAGGGAAACGCUCGAAGUCAGUCGCGUCCGCCGGGACUCAGCCUCGCAAUCUUGCUUGGUGUAUUUUCUGGUGGACGGGCCAGCAUCAAUUUUGGUCGCCGGACAAGGGCUGGAGAAAUGUGGCACCUUCGGGUGUGUUAUAGUCUCCGGUCACAUGCGGCGGUCGGGAUUGAGGAACUCAGCACGCCUUUACGGUCGGGGCUUCGCCCACGUUCGUGCUUAGGAUGCUGGCGUAAUGGCUUUGAACGACCCGUCUUGAAACACGGACCAAGGAGUCUAACAUGCCCGCGAGUGUUCGGGUGGAAAACCCGUGCGCGUAAUGAAAGUGAAAGUUGGGACCUCUGUCGUGGAGGGCACCGACGCCCGGACCAGAACUUCUGUGACGGAUCUGCGGUAGAGCGUGUAUGUUGGGACCCGAAAGAUGGUGAACUAUGCCUGAAUAGGGUGAAGCCAGAGGAAACUCUGGUGGGAGGCUCGUAGCGAUUCUGACGUGCAAAUCGAUCGUCAAAUUUGGGUAUAGGGGCGAAAGACUAAUCGAACAUCUAGUAGCUAGCUACUGACGAAGUUCCCUCUCGGGAAUCCUCCGCGCUCCAGAAAUAUCGAAUAGUCUGUACGCCCGAAGACCAGACUCCACCCACUGCGUGGUCGUUCGAGUUCCUUACUAGCGGGCAAAUUUCCUCUUGCUGCGCGAAUCAGAGCAUUAGUUCACAUCUUACGGUCAAAUAUCAGUCCUGAGCGGGGAGUGCUGCUCCACACAUUCAGAUCGAGCCUCGUACUUCUGAUACUAGGUUCAGUUUUCAUUCAUAACCACAGGUUUCCGAACUUUCGGAGUGUGAACCUGUGAUAAGAGCAGUCUAAGCUUAACCGAACUUGAGCAACUAGUACGGAUAGUACGGA
rnacentral:rRNA from 1 species